rnacentral:lncRNA from 1 species
UCCCUUCACAUGAUGGCCCAACAAAACUAACAAAAGAAUCAAGUUUAUAUUUCUCCUCAGAUCCAUUAAUUUUGAAGCGUGAAGAAGGAACUUAAUUUUUCCUCUUUUUUUUGUUUUUUUUUUAAAUUUUUGUGGGCCUGCCGGAGAAGGGAAAAAAAUAGGAGUGAGGUGAAUGAAGAAAAGGGUAAAAAAUAAAAGAAGAAAAAAAUAAAAAGAGGAGGAGAAGAAAAACAAACCAGAAACACACAAAAAAUUUCAACAAGGAAAUGACAAGUGGAGUGUUCAAAUACCUUCACUUGCCAUAAAUCUUUGGUGGAAAUUUUCAAUAAGUAUUUCAUUUGAUUAAUCCGAAGAAAAGGGUAAAAAAUAAAAGAAGAAAAAAU